UACGUAGGGGGGCAAGCGUUGUCCGGAAUUAUUGGGCGUAAAGAGCUCGUAGGCGGUCUGUCGCGUCGGCUGUGAAAUCCCGAGGCUCAACCUCGGGUCUGCAGCCGAUACGGGCAAACUAGAGUAUUGCAGGGGAGACUGGAAUUCCUGGUGUAGCGGUGGAAUGCGCAGAUAUCAGGAGGAACACCGAUGGCGAAGGCAGAUCUCUGGGCCGUAACUGACGCUGAGGAGCGAAAGCGUGGGGAGCGAACAGG
rnacentral:rRNA from 1 species